AGAUUCCUACGGGAGGCAGCAGUGGGGAAUAUUGCACAAUGGGGGAAACCCUGAUGCAGCCAUGCCGCGUGUGUGAAGAAGGCCUUCGGGUUGUAAAGCACUUUCAGCGAGGAGGAAAGGUCAGUAGCUAAUAUCUGCUGACUGUGACGUUACUCGCAGAAGAAGCACCGGCUAACUCCGUGCCAGCAGCCGCGGUAAUA
rnacentral:rRNA from 1 species